rnacentral:rRNA from 1 species
CCUACGGGAGUCAGCAGUGGGGGAUAUUGCACAAUGGGGGAAACCCUGAUGCAGCGACGCCGCGUGAGUGAAGAAGUAUUUCGGUAUGUAAAGCUCUAUCAGCAGGGAAGAAAAAAGACGGUACCUGCCUAAGAAGACCCGGGUAACUACGUGCCAGCAGCCGCGGUAAUACGUAGGGGGCAAGCGUUAUCCGGAUUUACUGUGUGUCAAGGGAGCGUAGACGGCAAUACACGUCGGAAGUGAAAUACCCGUGCUCAACCUGGGAACUGCUUUGGAAACUGUAUGGAUGGAGUGCUGGAGAGGAAAGCGGAAUUCCUAGUGUAGCGGUGAAAUGCGUAGAUAGUAGGAGGAACAGCAGUGGCGAAGGCGGCUUACUGGACAGUAACUGACGUUGAGGCUCGAAAGCGUGGGGAGCAAACAGGAUUAGAUACCCUAGUAGUC